CACGUAGGGCGCAAGCGUUGUCCGGAAUUAUUGGGCGUAAAGAGCUCGUAGGCGGUCUGUUACGUCUGCUGUGAAAACCCAGGGCUUAACCCUGGGCUUGCAGUGGAUACGGGCAGACUAGAGGCAGGUAGGGGAGACUGGAAUUCCUGGUGUAGCGGUGGAAUGCGCAGAUAUCAGGAGGAACACCGGUGGCGAAGGCGGGUCUCUGGGCAGUAACUGACGCUGAGGAGCGAAAGCGUGGGGAGCGAACAGG
rnacentral:rRNA from 1 species